UAGGGAAUCUUCGGCAAUGGACGGAAGUCUGACCGAGCAACGCCGCGUGAGUGAAGAAGGUUUUCGGAUCGUAAAGCUCUUUUGUUAGAGAAGAACGUUUGUAGGAGUGUAAAAUCUACCAAGUGACGGUAACUAACCAGAAAGGGACGGCUAACUACGUGCCAGCAGCCGCGGUCAUACUUAGGUCCCGAGCGUUGUCCGGAUUUUUUGGGCGUAAAGCGAGCGCAGGCGGUUCUUUAAGUCUGAAGUUAAAGGCAGUGGCUUAACAAUUGUACGCGGUGGAAACUGGAGGACUUGAGUGCAGAAGGGGAGAGUGGAAUUCCAUGUGUAGCGGUGAAAUGCGUAGAUAUAGGGAGGAAAACCGGUGGCGAAAGCGGCUCUCUGGUCUGUAACUGACGCUGAGGCACGAAAGCGUGGGGAGCAAAAAGG
rnacentral:rRNA from 1 species